GAAUCCCAGCCCGGUCUGGAGGUAACUGAAUCAUCUGUUAAGUUGCAGCUCAUUUCAGGUUCAGUCACUGCAUUUCCUUUCUCACAGAGAUUUUGCAUUAUCUGUUUCAGGCAGGUAACAGUCUGGAAAAAAAGAGGAUCUGAAGGCUGUGGUGGGUUGUUUUUUUUUCUAUAUUGAAUUUAUAUUCUUUCAAUUACAGAAGGACAUGAAUUAGCAACAGAAGUUGCAAACAUUGACGAUUAUGUUUUAUUUUAAUUAGUCAGGAAAGCCUCUGCUGAUUCUGUAUGGAUGUGGAAGUGGAGUGUCAGUAGGAAGAAUCCUCUCCUUUUGUGGCUGGCCAUGCGGCAGAGCAUCCUUGCCACGAGGGUGGGCAGGCUAGAGCCUGAGAACCAAUGCCGUGGGGACAAUAAGUUUUUUCAUUUCUUGCACAAAUGCUCCUUGGGUGCCAGCUAGAACUUCUUCUCUCCUUGUAGUGGCUGUUAAGCAUGUCUUGCUGUUUUGCCGUGUCUUUUCUAGGCCUCAUUUUUGACCUCAGACUGUUUACUUGAAGGAAAGUAAUUUGUGCCCUUCCAUUUUGCUCAGCAAAGGGUAACACUGAUUUUUCUUUGGAUGAAUCAUACUUUCAAUAUGUGAGGGUAAGAUACAAGCAAUUUUAUUUUAACUUUAAAAUCAGUUAUGGAGAGAUCUUGCUCUUGUCAAGAGCUCCUCUACAAUUCCUUUGUGGCCUGAAGCAUUGGCCUGUAUCACUCUCCUUUUCAGGACUGUGGAGUAGAUGGACCAAACAACAUACUGGAACUUGGCGCAUCCUCUCUCUCCUCUUAAUACUUACUUGUUCAUCAUUACCUGCAGUAACUGUGGAACCGUACUGUAGCUGCUCUGCAAAUAAGAGGAAAACAUUUUUCUUUCCCCAGCCCAGCUAGCAUCUAGCCAUGCAUCAAAGCUUGUCUUCAAAAUUGUAUAGCGCAGCAUUUGAUGAAACACUCUUUUUAUUGUCUUGGUUUAUACCUCAGCAGAGGUGCGACUUCUGAGUUUUACACCCAGCAAUAACUAUGAGUGGAGUAAAUAAGGUUUUUUUGAUUUUUCCAUGGGUAUUAAAAGGAAUAUUUAUUCCUUACUUUGUUUCCUGACAGUUUUUAAAUUCAACGUAAUGAAAUCUCCCUUCAGCAGUUAAUCAGCCACCGUAAAGCUCAAGACCUUCACCAGUUAAAAAAAAAGAAAAACAUGUUCUUUCCUUACUGCAAUCCACAAAUCCGUUGUUAGAGCACAUUUCCUUAACAACAGAAUUCUUGCUCUGGCUUUGAAACGUCAGUUCUUGUUUGGAGCGUGACUGACCUUGCACCCUGAUCAGCAUGGUUCUGACCAGGAAGCCUUGUCCUUACUGAGCGGAGGGGAGCACAAGCAGAUGCUUUCAAAAUCCACCCUUUUUACUGUAAGCACUAAGUAUGAUGUGCAUACUUGCCCGCUAAGACCUGGCUUGAGGUCAAUAGUUUACUCCCAAUAACUCAAUGAACAGCUUGCAAAUACAUAGUGCAACUCGGCAACAAUUGCAGUUUGGAUCCUGAUGGAAAACUUGGUAACAUUCAUGUACAGGGGUUUUUUGUUUGUUUGGGUUGGGUUUGGGGUUUUUUGGGCAUUGUUGGUUUGUUUUUUUUCCUUUUACUUCUGUAUCUGGCAUUUUACAAUCCUAGGGAACAGGCAUAAACCACACCUUGGUUCUUGUUGGGGUUGUGCUGGCGCUCACACUACCAGAUCCUUACUGCUGCAGCCCUGUGGUGUGUCAGGGCUGGCCGUGUCCCACCAGUCCUGUUCUACUGCUGCUGCCUUCCAGGAGGCCAGAGUGAGAUCCCAUCAAAGGUCAUCCUUCAUCUGGCAGAUGGGUCCAGACCUGGGGCUUCUCAGUUGCAUCAGACCGUCUCUGGUGCCUUAGUACUUCUUUGUCUUGCUUCUGCGUGGUUUUGCUAGCUGAUGCAAAUACCUAGGGGUAGGUGGGUGGGUGGGGAAAGAGCAGUCUUUAUGCAUCAGUGUUCUUGAAGGCAUAUGGCUCCACCUCAUAAAGCAAGACUGAGAACGUGCAUGUCUUGAUCAGCCUGAUUUUUGUGUUCAGGGAGUUUACUUGUAUCAGCUCCACAUCAACUAUAGCCACUGAAAAUCUGCACUCUGACCAGUUGUUUUAUCUCAGAGGUAAGUAAGUCUAAAAGUAAAUCUUUGGUUUUGAUUGCAUUCUGGUAAGUAAAGAUAACCAAAUUUUCUUAAGACCUCAGGAAUAUCUAGAAUUUAGCACAAACAGCCAAGUUAUUUUAAUUGGCACUUUCCUGGCUACCCUAUUAUUACUUGCAAUUAAGGACUGUUCCCAUGGUAUGUAAGAUAGCACAUACAAAUGACAUCAGUGCUUUCUGUGGCUAUCUGCUUUGCUCAUGUUCAUCAACUAAACUUGAAAGAGAAGAAGUUGUCCUAUGAGAACUAAUCUAAUUUUUUUCUUGUUUCUUUUUCUAACAAAAGUAUUGUUGUAUGCGUAGCACAGCAGUGCUUAAAGCCCCAUACCGAUUUGGUGCCCAGAUACCUUGUAAACACAUACGAGAACCCAGCAGCUGAUCCGGAGGGAGGCGACAUUAAACUUGGAGAACAUCCACGGCAGCCUGCCUCAUAAAACAAACCAUCUUUGAAUAAAUACUGAUUCUGUGUGCUGUAACUUGAAGUAGAGAAAUUAAGUUCCUUUAAUCAAUUUUCUUUCUAUACUUCUCUAUCACAGAUAAAUUUUAGAAGAUGUAUAACUUUUUUUUGUAGAUGUCAUGGAAGCCUACCAUCACAUGUUUUUUUAUAUAUAUAUAUAUAUAUAUAUAUAUAUAUAUAUAUAUAUAUAAUCUUCAGAUCUACCACUUUUCAGCUGAUAGGAUAUUUCUGUGGAUUUUAAGAAGGCCAGAACCGAUUUAUUUGAACUCUUGACUUGGUUUUACAGGGUUUGCUACAAUGGCAUAACAUGCAAUGCUGACCUGCUUUGUCCAGUUAGGUUUCUUGGCCUUGAAUUUUGUCAUCUCUGCUUAAGAGAUGAAACCAAACAUCUUCGUUUAAAACAUUCUUACAAUAAUUACAGUACAACGAGUUGCUGUUUAAAAUCUAGAAACCUACAGAACAGUUAAUAAGGCUUUCUGGGAAAAUACUUGCUACUGUUAUAGCAGCCCUUUCACAGAGGUCAUGGCAGGGAGCCAGAGGAGGUUGGUAGACAGCUAGGCAACCAGAAAAGAACAAGUUUGUCAGCAUGUACAGCUGAUUACCGUGAGAAUGAUUUUCCAUAAGCAUAGCCUGCAGAGUGUUUGCUUGAGGGGGUGGGGGUCUAUGUGUGUUAAUUUUUCACUAAACUUCAUAAAAAGCUAAGCCAUUUUUAACUGUGAUAGAAAGUAAUUUGUUCAAAUGAGAUGGAAUGAGGCUUGGUAUUAUUUUUAUACUAUUUUUAUGCUACCUACACAUUGCAGUAGGCUUGAGGUAUGAUAUUUCAGUAUAUAUAGGCAAUAUAGGAUUAUUCCCAUAAUGAUACGUUAUGACAAUUAUUUUGGAUAGGUGUUUUGAUUUCUACUAGCUGCAGUGAACAAUUCAGAACCAGAAAACAUGAGAAAUGUUCUUAGUGGCAGAAGAGACAGCCUUUAGUUAUUGUGCUCUCCUGCUUGUGAAUGUCAUCUAGAUUGCCAGAGUGUAUCAUAAGAAAUAAAUUCACUUUCUUUUCUAGGUUGCUCAUGUUUAUAACUGUAGUGUAACUCUGUGGGAAUACGGGCAGUCUUGAAAGUUUUAUGGGGCUCUGUAAGCCAAAAUCUCUAACCAAGUCUAACUGAAUCAUAGUCCCAGUCUCCAAAACAGGUUGUUGAACUACUGCACUGUACCUAUACCUCUUCUUUCUCUGGCCAUCUCUAUGUGCAAGGUCAAGGCUGAAAGGCCUGUGUCAUGUGGAGACACUGAAAUAAUCUGGUGUUAGCUGGUUGCCUAAGGAAUCGUAUAAAGCCGAUGGACUGGAAUAAAUGCAUGAACUCUAAACUUUCAAAGGAGAAGACAAAAAUCAAUUCAUAUUUACACUGAAAAAAAGUUUUUGAUGAAAUAACCCACUCAAUUUUUAAUACUGUUCUUGAAUAUACAGAAUGUUUGCCAAAGUCUUUAUAACCAUGUGUGGUUUAUUUCAAAUAUGAUGCAAUCCAUAACCUGCAGCCUGCUUGAUUUUACAAUAUGAGCUGUCUUUAUCCAUUGUUUACUGUCUUUGAAUACGAGGAGGAUCAGAAUAUUAGGAAGAGUGCAGUAGCUUUGAGGAUGAGCCAUAGGAAUGAGAUGAAAUUCAGUAGCAAAAGGCACUGUACUGAAGUGUGCUGGUUGGGAAUGACCGAGGGGGAGGCCUGAGACUGGCUGGGAGCUGCCCUGGCCAUGUGGCCUGGGAAAGGUGAAUGCAUGUCCCGGGAGGGUCGAGGGAGAGACUCCUGCUCACGCCAGGGAGCUAUUUGUGCGGUUGUACAAGGCUGUAAUGCACCUUACCAGAAAUAAUGUGUAUGAUCCUCUCUGCCCACUUUCUAGAAGAUGAAUUUAGAUUGGAACAGGUUCAGAGGAAAAAUAGCAUGUCUGGGAAAGUAGGAAAGAGGAGACGAGGUAUCAUGGCAAAACAAAAUGACAGAAGACCUGAGAAAAGAUAAAACUGUUUAAAUGUAGUGUACUUAAUCAUUGAACAGAUAGAAUUUCUGUUGAAUGGCUAUAAUUUCUAUGGAUACAUGUAAUUUCUGAACAAUCCACAAUGACUGCAUCCUUAUUUAUCAAGUGAUAAGGGACUUCAUGAGGAACACGUCAGAGAAAAAUACCUUUUUUUUAAAGGGAAGGGCAACGUUGCUUCAAGAAAAAUGUUAAGUAGUUAAUAAUGGAUACAAUUAGACAUAAAUUUACAGAUUCCUAAUUGUGAGGAUAGUCUGUAAUGUGUCUCCAGCAGGAUUAAGUAGGGGCAAAAAAUUUAGCUGCUUUUAAGCUGGAUCUCAAGACAUUUAUUAAAGUGAUUCUAUAAAGUGUUACUUUUAACACCAAAGGACAGGACUCUAAUUCAGAAAAUACCUUUGGUUUUUCUGUUCAUUUUUGUCUUUUAGGUAUCUUACCAUCUAAAAAGUAAUAAUACAAAGUCACUGCUAUGGAAGGAAUUCAGAAUCUUCUGUCUUAAGUUGUGCAAAACUAAUAAAUUAUUUGGAGUCUGUUAGAGAACAGAAACUCCUAAACAAAUCUGUCAAAUCUUAACAUAAGUCUCUGUUUAGUCUGCAGUGGUGAAAUUGCUCUGAAUAGAAGAUACAUGAUAAAAUAUGUGUAACAGGUCUUGUCGAAAAGCUUUUUCAUUCUGUUUAGCACUUUCCAAUAACAGACAAUCUCUACUGCAUUUAAUAAAAAGUAAUAAAACUGCUGAAGCUAGAACUGAUUGCUAGUUGGUUUAAAACAAAGUUUAUAACCUCUCCCUACAGUGUGCUGCUCACUCUCUGCAUCUAGAAGUCAGUUGUUAAAUAAAGUCUCUCUGGGAGAAAUUUUCCAUUCUGAGCCAUAAGCACUGGAUUGACAACCUUUGUAGAAAUGUAAAUGUAGUCCUGUCAAACAAUACGCUUCUAUAAAUGCUGAAGGAUAGUUUUCUUUCACUGUGUGCGUGGGCAGUAUCUUGGAGAACAGCUUGUAGAGAAUUUUUGUAGCUAUGAAAAGCAGUAGGGCUGGGAACUGCCAGGCUAGAACGCCUCUAGCAUCCCAUCAGGAGGAUGGGAUAUCUAAUGGUACAGGACCCAUCAGCCAGCAGCAGCUAUCUAAAUGGUGUUUGCCUAUGGGAAUAAAGCAACAGCCACAUAAAUAAAAAAUUGUUGAGUUUUCUUUCACUAUCCCAUUAGAGCUGGAUAUUGUUCCUGCAAGCUUCAUUUCAAACAUGUAUGUCAAUAAGAUGCAAAUAAUUAUCACAAUACUUUCUGGCAUGUAUCUUAAAUAUACAAAAUUCAGAAAAAUAAUUUCCUCUGAACUUACUUUGCAGGUUCAUCAGCGUUUGCUCUGUCUUCUGUACCUAUCAGUUUGGCUUCAUUCUGAGUUUACUCUCAUGCAACUGCAGAAUUUGGCCACAGGUUUUACCCUCAUAACUUCUGGCUAACCUAUAUGUGCUAAAUGAUAAAAACGUGCUAAAAAUGAUUACAAAAUGCAAACACCACCCUUGUAAUGGAAAAAUAAGAUAUGCAUAGGGGAGAUAAUUUUUUCCCUUAUUAAAAAUGAUUGUUUGAGAAAUGUAAAGGCCAGCCAACCCACUCAGGCUGCUGAGCGUACGCACCAAGGAGAAAACUAGAGAGAAUCAGAAGUGAUGGUGUAGUGAUGCAAAAGGAAAUGGUGAAAAAAGGAGAUGUGAAGAUGUUGGACAGCUUUCUGGAACAGCAGAGAAGACAGCACCAGCAGGUUGAGAGUGUGUGAGAUUCCUGUUCUGAUUGAAUCCCAGUACUCAUAAGUGCCAGCGCACAAUUUUGCCCCCGUGAAGCUGCCCCUAGUCUCUGGGCUGGGCUCCUGGUGAAGUCUUUGGACACUGACAGUCAUUGGUGGUGAGCAACUCUCAGUGCAGUUCUCAAAGCCUACACAGGUACGUGAGCAUAAAAAACACCACUCCCAAUAUAAUCCCUUUUGCUCAUGGCUGGUCAUACUCAUGAUGCUGUGCAAGUAAUUUCUUGUGUUCACCCUUCCGCUAUCAAAGCUUCUAGAUCACUUAAGAUAUGGCAUUAACUAGUAUUAACUUCCUGGAGAAGGGCAUCUCAAGGUGACUGCAGGUUCUCAGCACUGUGCUUAUCAGAAGAGGGGUGUGCCAAAGGCACAGCGAUGCCCUGGCUCUUGGAGAGUACUGUUACUGACACUUUCUUGUAGCAAUGAUUCUAUUCACCAUCUCCACUUCUACAUGUUAUUUAUUCUUUAUUAAUUUAAAGCAAGUGUUUGCUGUUAGUGGUUGGCUGGCCUAACUUUUCCUUGUCUCUGAAAAACACAGUUACAAUUAAAGUGCAAAGUUUGUGCUUUGCUGUACUUUUUUUUUCUCUUGAUGAAACUGAAUAGCUAAAAGUUAUGCCAAAAGUUAUAACAAGCAAACAAACAAAACCCAGUAAACAAUCGACACAAGUGAGCUGUGUUUCAACACAGGCUUCUGAGCCAGCGAUCUGAGAUUUAAAAUAUUUGGCAGCAAAAUCAUCCAUUAACCAAUGCAGUCCAUAAAGUUAAUCAGCCGUUAUAUAUUCUCUAAAGAUUAGGAGUACUUUUGCACUGGGGGUAACCCCUCUCCCCCCAGCAAAGCAAGCACUUAAAAUUGCCACAUAUUACAGAGAUGGCAGCAUUUGUGCAUGUAUACAUAUGUAUGUAUAUAUAUUAUAUAUAUCUAUGUAUUAGUACAAACACCAUCACCAACCUUUCUUGUCCUGCAGUGCUGUUCCAACAGGGAUGCGUCCUGGCCACUGGUGUAAAGGAAAAGAGAAGAACCAUUUGCCUUCAACAAUCUUGAAGAGCAUCAUUUGUCUUUGGCCAGUCAAAAGCAUAUUGUGCUGGAACUUUUGCACCAGCUAAGGCUAUAACUGAACUUUUAAUGUGGCUAUACUGUCUGUAUGAGGUUUUAUAGCCCAGAACCUGAGGAUUGGCAGGAAUUCCAAGGUAGAGCUUUUCUAAGAAAGCUUUGAAUAGCUCUGCUUCCUCACAUGGAGUUUUGAAGUCACUGCUGGUCAUGCAAGAUAAUUGGCAUCCAAAAUCAUGUGAAAAACCUCCUGCUCUCAAAAUGCCUAUGUGUUUGCGGGUUUUCUAAGCAGCUGACAUGUAAAUGUAAACCUCCUCCUAUGGUAAAAAUUUCCAAUGAAUCAAAUGUAGUGGGUGCAAGCUGAAUUCAGUAAGUGUAGGAUAAUUUAAAUGCACUGUGAACCUGACUGGUUAUCCAGUCUUAUCUGCAGUGAGGUAGGUGAGAUUUUUAUUAAUGAAAGGUGUGGGAACAGUCCCGGACCCCAAACAGCCAUAGCUCAGUGCUCAACCCUUGUGUAUUCUCUUUGCAGCCACCAUCUGUUUUAAGGCUUGAGAUCCUAAACGAUUCUAUCAAAGCCUUUUUUGAUAUAUUACUGAAAAGACUUCUGCCCCUCUUGAGCUUAAUGGCAGACAGUGAAGUUAUAGAGACCUGAUAAUAGAUAUUAAGACUUUUAAAAUAUAUGAAUAUUGACUGAAGAAAUUCCAAAUUCUCCUGCUUUGGUUUUGUCUUGUGUUAUUAUAUGAAUGUUAAAUAAAUCUUUUUUGAUUAUUAAAUCUUGAUGAUGAUAAGUCUGAAUAAAUCUUGGAAGUCUUCCAUUUUAUAACAGUAAAUUUAUUUGCAGUGUUUUUAAUGCUCCCUCAUUUUGCCUUGUCACAAAUGCUGAAAAAGAGAAACUGUAUUAAAGUGUUGCCCAUUCUAGUACAGCCAGAUCAAGAAAGUGCAGCAAACACAACAAUUAACACGGCUAUCAGUAUAACAAAUGAUGGUGACCAAGCUUCCUGCAAUAAUAAAAAAUAAAUCUCUGGGUUCUCUCAAUCUCUCUUGAAGUUUUGUUCAAACUGAUGAAGCAAAGUUUAGACAAUUUUCCACUGAAAUGAUGUGCUUGCCUUUAUUCUGUGAUGAUGAGCUGCAAGUGGCAGAAGGAAAGAUUUGGGGAAAGGUUCCAUCUGUAUCACACUCACUGCUGGGCCUGGGGUGCUGCAGGAACAGCUUCUAGUCUCAGUGAGAUUUUCAACCCAAGGAACACAUCAGGAGAUUAAAAGUUGCGUGGAGUGUCUGGCAUUUAAAUGAGCCAUACUGCUUCUAACAUCAAAAGACAUUCAGUUCAAGAACUGGCCAAAAGGUCAACCAGAUUCUUGCCUUGCCUAAAGCAGUAUUUUCAUAAUAAUUUUGGUCUGUGCAAAUGCUUCCUACAAAAGUGGAGCCAGGGAUCCUAAGCAAACUCCUAAAUUUGCCAAGGGCUUUGUGUUGGGCUAGGAAUUGUCUUCUUUCUGUAAAACAUUGGACAUUUAACUUCUAGACAUUGUAUCUCACCUAAAUUAUGUCUAUACUGUGUUUCUGUAAUUUGUCAUUUUUCUAACAUAUAUUCUCAUUUUAUUGCACAGGGUUCUGAUGUCUUUCCUCAUCAAGUGAAUAACUGGGCUGGCUUGCUAUAUGCAAUUUUAAUCUGUCUUGCUUAACCUCUAGAAAUUCAGAGGUAGCUGAUUAUGGUCUUGCUAAGUAAGAUUUCAGGGAAGCAUUUUCUUAUGAUCUGCCUUUACAAUGUUUAUAUAUAUAUGUGUGUGUGUGUAUAUAUCUCUUUAUAUUCUCAUGCUUCUUCAUGAUUAAAUGCUGCUGUUAUUUUACAAUGUGUAUCCAUGUAGUGCUUUGGAAUAUCCCUUCUCAAGAGAAAACCAGAUCAUGGCAAGGAGAUCUCAGAGAGGACGUAUCCCAUUUGGAAUCCCUGUAGGUAUUUCCUGAGUCAGCAGAUCCAAAAUGGAGACCUUCACCUCCCUGAGGGUAAGGUGUGGCAUAAAGCCCAGAAAAUAAUCCCCUAGCAGCUUAACCUUCAAGAGCUGGAAACUCUGAGCUGUGUCCAGAAACACGUAGGUGCCAAGUGUGUUCAUCCAGGUUUGUGCCUUGGUCCUGACAGAGAAGUAGAGCUGGUGGUGACAAAGGCGGAAGGCAGAAAGCAGUCCUGGUCCUGAGGGGGUGAAGGCUGAAGCACUUGGAGGUUGUCUGUUUUCCUGCAUGAGCUUUGGGCAGCAGAAGGCUCUGAACCUUCUGGUCACACCAGAAGGAUGAACAAGACCGUCCCACCUCUUCCUCUCACCAGAGGUGACCUCCGCAUCUUGCAAGUAUAGGGGAACUGUUGGGCAGCAAAACUGACCAUCCUUCCUGUUCUUUCCCUAUGCUUCUGGAAGUGGCUAGUUCUGCGAUGGGGUCAAAGGAAGGAGGUGUACCCAGGUGCUGUGAAGUUCAACCUUCUGUUCAGCAACAGGGAAACAGUCUCUGAGCUUUGCUUACAACGGGUAAUGCCAACACAGGACCAUAUUCUUUGCACAAGUAUCGGAUUUUGGAAGGAAGAUACUCUCAUGCUAGGUUUUGCUUUGCAGCCCAGCUCAUACUCUGGCACUGAUUUUGGACAAUAGUUGUAAUUAACCAGAAAUAUCUUAGGUUUCACUUGUAUUGCAGUGAUUAGAAAGAGCAGUUAUUUUUAUUUUGCACAUUAACUUUUGUUAAUGCCGCUUUGUACAUACACUUAGCAAAGGUAAAAAGAACUGAAAAUAACCAAAUGUAAAGCAACCGGUGCUAUAAUAUAUAGUUCCUCUCAUAAUUUCACCAUAAAGGAUCACGCCAACCUCUUGACACGGUGUGUGCAGCCCUAUAUUAAGCUAUUCUAAUGGCUCUUAAUUCAGUUUUGAUCUUUAGAGCUUGUUCUUGAAAUCCAUAUUUAAGGUAGUCUGUAUGAAGUCAUUUGGAGUGCUGAAUUAAAUACGAUCCACGGGGCUCAAAAAAUCUUGAUAAUGUCACUUAUAUGAGGCACAAGGGGUGGGAUUCAUUUGGCUGCAUGCAGAUUGCUCCAAGGAGCUAUGUCUAUGCUAAUCACAUCGUUUUCCCUUUACAGCCAAAGAAGAGAAAUAAGCACUUUAAGGAUAUCAUUCAGCUGACCUGUUUCAGAUAUCUGGUAUAAGAUGAGAAGAACUGCACCUUAAAAGCAACUAUCGCUCCCUCGUGACUUCAAAAGGAGCUUUGGUGAUCAGUUCAGCAACAAAUAUUUAACGAAUUUCAAAGCGUUAUGCCUAAGGAAGUGUACUGAACGUGGGUGAUCGGUACAGAUAUAACUGCGAUUUAAAAGGAGUGGGGUUGCCGAUGUGUGGCUGAGAACACACCUGAGAGCCU